GUUUCUACCAGACGAGCCGUUCUUACUGUUCCACCAACAGACAGAAAAUCACUCAGAGUUGGGUUACUGAGUUUUUAAACCUGUAGCUUACUUUAAAUAUUUCAUACUUAAAACAAAAAGCCCUAUUUGUUACAUUAGACGGGCGAAUGACAGGAGAUCACCGGCUUCCUCUUGUGGUCAACAUCUGUAUCAUAGCAGGACUGACACUGUUGCGUUCUCAGGAGAGAAGUGCAGGAGAUCCCGGAAAUUAUGGAGCAUCAAAUGUUUGGCGCGGAUAGCGGAGAAUAAGGGAUGUUUGAAGUGUUACUCUCAACAAACAGAAGCAUGUGGACACUGGACAGACAUUGACUGUAAUGAUGGACAUCUGCUGAAGCACAGGCAGAAGUAUAACGCCUGCUGGACAUUGUGCUGGAACUCGGGGAGGACACCAUGAUCCCCCACACCUUCUCACUCACACCAGACCAUUCACUCAUAUCACGGAGAUCUGGCUGGACUUGAACCAGCAACCUCUGAAACUAUGAGGCAGUGCUCUUACCUCUGAGCCACAGAUCUCAUGUCUGAACAUGUGCAGGAACUUAUAUUUCACUAUUCUCCCUGUCAGUUUACAAUAAACCAGUUAAAUUUUUAACCCAUCACACCACUGCAGUCCUGAUUGUGAGUAACAUGUGUUUAGCCAUUAGUGCCACACUGGCUUUCAUAUUGAAAGCUUGCGUUUGCUCCACUUUGUUGGAUAUAAUGCAAUACAUGAGCUUUAAUGUAAGCAAUAGUUGGGCUUGAACUCAGAACUCAAUGAUCCCAACACAACACGCUGCUUCUUGAGCCACUGGAACAGGUGUGUAAAUGGUUGUUUUGGACAGGUUAUAUUAAGAGCUUUGGUUUAUGUGAUUAAAAAUAAUUAAAUGAAUAAAUAAAUAAAAACUUGAGCUAGCAUUUUAGGUGGUGUUUUGCUGGAAACAGUAACAACAGCUGAAUGUAAGGAAAAGUGGAUUUUGAACUCAGGACUCCACAAUUCAUGGAGAAACUUAUUAUCUCCUGCACCACUGUGUGGUGACAUCUAUUGUAGUGUUUUAGAUGUAAAGACGAUAAAAUAACCAAAACGUCUUCAAUAAUUGUGAGAUUUGAACCCAAAGACAAAACACAAUAUUAUGAGCCACAAAGUUUGCAACAACUUGUUGUUAGGUUUUAUCCAAAUUAAAUAACAGUAGGAUUUGAACUCAAGACUCUGUGAUUGAAGCGCAGCACUUUAUAGCCUGAACCACUGGAUUUGUGGUGUAAAGGACUGUUUGCUUCAGCUGUUUUUUCAGGGUUGGAGCUAAAAUCAGGACAGUGGCUCACCAGGAGCAGGAUUAGACAAUCUCUUUCCUCCUGCUGUUUUCAUGUAUUAAUGCAGAUACACUUAUUGUCCACAAGGGAGAGCACAUUAGCACAUUGAUCUGAUCUCAUGCCUGUUCUCCAUCCAUUCAUUCUCCAAACCGCUUCUCCUGUAGGAUCCUGUGAGGAGAUGCUGGAGUCUGUCCCAGAGUCUCCGACCCAAAGCAGGAAAACACCCAGUCCAUCACAGAGCGAUGUGAGGAAGAGCCAGUCAAGCUUUACUGCAAAUCCUGCUUGAUUCUGCAAACACAACAACACAAUGUCAUUGACUAACUGUGAACAAACAUGAUAAAAUCAAAUAAACAUCUGCUUCAGCCAUAGAUAAUAUAGACUGCUUUAUCUUCAGUAUGAACAUGUUAACGCAUGUGUUUUGUAAUAUGAACAGUAACCCAAUCUCUGAAGCAAUUUAGAUUCUGUUGGGAAGAAACUGAUUUGUAAGGUAAAAACCGAAGUGUUGUUUUCCAUCCGCUCCACCGGGCGGCAGAAUCAGUCUUUAGGUUCAGUUUGACACAUUCAGAUGCUUGACAACAUGACGCUUGAUAACAGUCACAACAACACGUGCAGACUGAUUUAAAUAUAGAUUCUGCAGAUGACAACUCAGUUACAGACUCAUAAUGUCACUUAACAGCACACACUUCAGCCCAUAAACAAACAAACGCUGUGAUAAACUAAUAAGGGAUGUUUGAAGUGUUACACUCAGCCAACAGAAGCAUGUGGACAGACAUUGACUGUAAUGAUGGACAUCUGCUGAAGCACAGGCAGAAGUAUAACCCCUGCUGGACAUUGUGCUGGAACUCGGGGAGGACACCAUGAUCCCCCACACCUUCUCACUCACACCAGACCAUUCACUCAUAUCACAGAGAUCUGGCUGGACUUGAACCAGCAACCUCUGAAACCAUGAGGCAGCGCUCUUACCUCUGAGCCACAGAUCUCAUGUCUGAACAUGUGGAGGAACUUAUAUUUCACUAUUCUCCCUGUCAGUUUACAAUAAACCAGUUAAAUUGUGUAAGUAAUGUGUGUAAGUAAUGUGUGUUUGCAC
ensembl:lncRNA